UCCUGGGAAGAAGGAUGAGAUGGUUCCUCAGCCCUGGACCACAGCCCCAUCCAUCUGCCCAGGGAGAAAGCCUGGGAUGGAGUUGGGUGUGAUGGUUGGCACUCAAGCAGCCAUUUUGGACCAUAAAGCUUCAUGCAAAGAUGAUGGGCAACAAACUCAAGGAACCUGAGUGCCCAACUUCAUGGAGUUGCCCCUGGACUGCCCGCCUCUAGACUUUUUCAUAUAAGAGAGAAAUAAAGUUCAAUCUUGUUUAAGUCACUGUUA